rnacentral:rRNA from 1 species
GACGAACCGUGCGAACGUUAUUCGGAAUCACUGGGCUUAAAGUGCGUGUAGGCGGAUGGGGACGUCGGUCGCUGAAAGCCCCCGGCUCAACCGGGGAAGUGGCGCCGAAACGCCCCGUCUGGAGGGACGUAGGGGGACCUGGAACUUCCGGUGGAGCGGUGAAAUGCGUUGAGAUCGGAAGGAACGCCCGUGGCGAAAGCGAGGUCCUGGACGUCUGCUGACGCUGAGACGCGAAAGCUAGGGGAGCGAACGGG